UGUUUUUCGGAAUAUAUAUUAGUGGCGCACGGGUGAGUAACACGUACAUAACUUGCCCCUCAAGCGGGGGAUAGCCUUGGGAAACUGAGAGUAAUACCCCAUAGAAUUAUUGGACGGCAUCGUUUGAUAAUUAAAACUACGGUGCUUGGGGAUAGAUGUGCGUCUGAUUAGCUAGUUGGUGAGGUAACUGCUCACCAAGGCGACGAUCAGUAGGGGGCGUGAGAGCGUGGCCCCCCACACGGGUACUGAGACACGGACCCGACUCCUACGGGAGGCAGCAGUAAGGAAUAUUGGUCAAUGGAGGGAACUCUGAACCAGCCAUGCCGCGUGAAGGAUGACGGCCCUCUGGGUUGUAAACUUCUUUUGGAUGGGGCGAAAAAACGGGAUUUAUCCUGGACUGACGGUACCAUCAGAAUAAGCACCGGCUAACUCCGUGCCAGCAGCCGCGGUAAUACGGAGGGUGCAAGCGUUAUCCGGAAUCACUGGGUUUAAAGGGUGCGGUAGGCGGUUGUAUAAGUCAGGGGUGAAAGG
rnacentral:rRNA from 1 species